rnacentral:rRNA from 1 species
UUGACGGGGAGCACUACGAACGGGUGGAGCCUGCGGUUUAAUUGGACUCAACGCCGGAAAACUCACCGGGGGCGACAGCAAUAUGUAGGUCAAGCUAAAGACUUUACCAGAAUCGCUGAGAGGAGGUGCAUGGCCGUCGUCAGUUCGUACUGUGAAGCAUCCUGUUAAGUCAGGCAACGAGCGAGACCCGUGCCCACUGUUGCCAGCAUGUCCUUCGGGAUGAUGGGUACUCUGUGGGGACCGCCGAUGCUAAAUCGGAGGAAGGUGCGGGCUACGGUAGGUCAGUAUGCCCCGAAUCUCCCGGGCUACACGCGGGCUACAAUGACUGGGACAAUGGGCUCCUACCCCGAAAGGGGAUGGUAAUCUCAUAAACCCAGCCUUAGUUCGGAUCGAGGGCUGUAACCCGCCCUCGUGAAGCUGGAAUCCGUAGUAAUCGCGUUUCAACAUAGCGCGGUGAAUACGUCCCUGCUCCUU